rnacentral:rRNA from 1 species
AUUGAACGCUGGCGGCAGGCCUAACACAUGCAAGUCGAGCGGCAGCGGGAAAGUAGCUUGCUACUUUUGCCGGCGAGCGGCGGACGGGUGAGUAAUGCCUGGGAAAUUGCCCAGUCGAGGGGGAUAACAGUUGGAAACGACUGCUAAUACCGCAUACGCGCUACGGGGGGAAAGCAGGAGACCUUCGGGCCUUGCGCGAUGUGAUAUGCCCAGGUGGGAUUAGCUAGUUGGUGAGGUAAUGGCUCACCAAGGCGACGAUCCCUAGCUGGUCUGAGAGGAUGAUCAGCCACACUGGAACUGAGACACGGUCCAGACUCCUACGGGAGGCAGCAGUGGGGAAUAUUGCACAAUGGGGGAAACCCUGAUGCAGCCAUGCCGCGUGUGUGAAGAAGGCCUUCGGGUUGUAAAGCACUUUCAGCGAGGAGGAAAGGCCAGUAGCUAAUAUCUGCUGGCUGUGACGUUACUCGCAGAAGAAGCACCGGCUAACUCCGUGCCAGCCGCCGCCGUAAAAC